rnacentral:lncRNA from 1 species
CCCUACCUCACCUCGCUCAUCAACGCAUCCUUGACCGCUGGCUACGUCCCUUCCGUCUUCAAGAGAGCGAGAGUUGCACCCCUUCUGAAAAAAACCUACACUCGAUCCCUCCGAUGUCAACAACUACAGACCUAUCUGCUGCCUUUGAUACCGUGAACCAUCAGAUCCUCCUCUCCACCCUCUCCGAGCUGGGCAUCUCCGGCACCGCGCACGCUUGGAUUGCGUCCUACCUGACAGGUCGCUCCUACCAGGUGGCGAAUCGCAUCUCUGCAUGUCUGGCAGACAUAUCAGUGUGGAUGACGGAUCACCACCUCAAGCUGAACCUCGGCAAGACGGAGCUGCUCUUCCUCCCGGGGAAGGACUGCCCGUUCCAUGAUCUCGCCAUCACGGUUGACAACUCCCUUGUGUCCUCCUCCCAGAGUGCUAAGAGCCUUGGCGUGACCCUGGACAACACCCUGUCGUUCUCC